rnacentral:tRNA from 1 species
GCGGAUGUGGCGGAAUUGGUAGACGCGCUGGAUUUAGGUUCCAGUAUCGAGAGGUGUGGGAGUUCGAGUCUCCCCAUCCGCACCA